rnacentral:rRNA from 1 species
UACGUAGGGGGCGAGCGUUAUCCGGAAUGAUUGGGCGUAAAGCGUCCGCAGGUGGCAAUGUAAGUCUGCUGUCAAAGCGUCUGGCUCAACCAGAUAAAGGCAGUGGAAACUACAUAGCUUGAGUACAGUAGGGGCGGAGGGAAUUUCCGGUGGAGCGGUGAAAUGCGCAGAUAUCAGGAGGAACACCAAUGGCGAAGGCAGCUCGCUGGGACGGUACUGACGCUGAGGCGCGAAAGCGUGGGGAGCAAACAGG